AACGAACGCUGGCGGCAGGCCUAACACAUGCAAGUCGAGCGCCCUUUCGGGGGAGCGGCGGACGGGUGAGUAACGCGUGGGAAUAUGCCCUUCUCUACGGAAUAGCCUCGGGAAACUGAGAGUAAUACCGUAUACGCCCUUUGGGGGAAAGAUUUAUCGGGGAAGGAUUAGCCCGUGUUGGAUUAGGUAGUUGGUGGGGUAAUGGCCUACCAAGCCGACGAUCCAUAGCUGGUUUGAGAGGAUGAUCAGCCACACUGGGACUGAGACACGGCCCAGACUCCUACGGGAGGCAGCAGUGGGGAAUCUUAGACAAUGGGGGCAACCCUGAUCUAGCCAUGCCGCGUGAGUGAUGAAGGCCUUAGGGUUGUAAAGCUCUUUCAGCUGGGAAGAUAAUGACGGUACCAGCAGAAGAAGCCCCGGCUAACUCCGUG
rnacentral:rRNA from 1 species